GACGAACGCUGGCGGCGUGCUUAACACAUGCAAGUCGAACGGAAAGGCCCUGCUUUUGUGGGGUGCUCGAGUGGCGAACGGGUGAGUAACACGUGAGUAACCUGCCCUUGACUUUGGGAUAACUUCAGGAAACUGGGGCUAAUACCGGAUAGGAGCUCCUGCUGCAUGGUGGGGGUUGGAAAGUUUCGGCGGUUGGGGAUGGACUCGCGGCUUAUCAGCUUGUUGGUGGGGUAGUGGCUUACCAAGGCUUUGACGGGUAGCCGGCCUGUGAGGGUGAACGGCCACAUGGGGACUGAGAGACGGCCCAGACUCGUACGGGAGGCAGCAGUGGGGAAUAUUGCACAAUGGGCGGAAGCCUGAUGCAGAAACGUCGCGUGCGGGAUGACGGCCUUCGGGUUGUAAACCGCUUUCGCCUGUGACGAAGCGUGAGUGACGGUAAUGGGUAAAGAAGCACCGGCUAACUACGUG
rnacentral:rRNA from 1 species